GCUCUUGUAGUAUAGUGGUUGGCACACUCGACGCAAAUUCGAGAGGUCUCAGGUUCGAGUCCCGGCAAAACCA
rnacentral:tRNA from 1 species